ensembl:snoRNA
GGUCAAUGAUGUGUUGGCAUGUAUUAACUGAAAUCACUGCUGAUGUGAUAACAAUUUAGCUCUAGAAUUACGCUGAGACCUU